UACGUAGGGGGCAAGCGUUGUCCGGAAUUAUUGGGCGUAAAGAGCUCGUAGGCGGUUUGUCGCGUCUGCUGUGAAACGCGAGGCUCAACCUCGCGCCUGCAGUGGGUACGGGCAGACUAGAGUGCGGUAGGGGAGAUUGGAAUUCCUGGUGUAGCGGUGGAAUGCGCAGAUAUCAGGAGGAACACCCGUGGCGAAAGCGGCUCUCUGGGACGGUACUGACGCUGAGACGCGAAAGCGUGGUAGCAACAGG
rnacentral:rRNA from 1 species